ACUUUCAACAACGGAUCUCUUGGCUCUCGCAUCGAUGAAGAACGUAGCGAAGUGCGAUAAGUAAUGUGAAUUGCAGUAUUCCGUGAAUCAUCAAAUCUUUGAACGCAUAUUGCACUUUCUGGUAUUCCGGAAAGUAUGCCUGUUUGAGGGUCAGU
rnacentral:rRNA from 1 species